GACAGAGGGUGCAAACGUUUGUUCGGAAUUACUGGGCGUAAAGCGAGUGUAGGCGGUUCGGUAAGUCGGAUGUGAAAGCCCCGGGCUCAACCCGGGAAGUGCACUCGAUACUGCCGAGCUAGAGUAUCGGAGAGGUUGGUGGAAUUCUCGGUGUAGAGGUGAAAUUCGUAGAUAUCGAGAGGAACACCGGUGGCGAAGGCGGCCAACUGGACGAAUACUGACGCUGAGACUCGAAAGCGUGGGGAGCAAACAGG
rnacentral:rRNA from 1 species